rnacentral:lncRNA from 1 species
AAGUAUAAAGAUGUAUAAAGAUUGAGUUCUUUACUCAAACAACAUGCUUUAUUCAAUCAAUGUAGUCAUAAGUUGACUUUAACAUUUCAUACAUUCAACAUAUAUAUAACACAUCAUGCUCUUUGCAAUAAAGAUUUAAAUCAAUCAAAUUCACAUAGCAAAUAGGAACUGAAAGACUUGCCUUGAUCGUUGUUUACCAAUAACAGUUUAACAGCUUACAGUUAUCUGCACUUCACGUGCCCUACACAAUUAUAUAAUCAUGCACAUCAACUAUUAGUCACAUAGCAAC